UCCAGGGAUUUUUCACUGGGACAGCUUUUAUCUGUUCGGCUGUAGGUCAGGCAUGAGUAACUCCAGGACGGCGGAAUGGGGCUGUCGCCUCAGGGUGGGAUUCCAGGACUGAUGCUCAGUAAAAAUAUAACAAAACCAACUCAUGCCAGUGCUGGCGCUGUGACAAACUGUGUUGCUGCCGAGAUACUGUUGUCAACCGGCCACACACGGACAGUAGCCAGUGUUGUGAACACCCAGAGGAGGGGCUGCAAACCCAGAAGGGAGCGAUCAGAAGAAAGUUCUGGAAAAAGUGGCACAUAUGUCACAUGAGGACUUCACCAGCAAAUUUCACAUGAGAGGUCACCCCAGGACAAUGUUCCAGCAAAAGACCAGUGAUGAGAUAGAUAAUAAGGUUUUCAAGGAACUGAAACCAGCUCAGCAAAACGAGUAGAGCAAGUGGGGGUGGAGAGGGCCUGCUGAAGCCAAAAGCGAUAGAGCCCUCGGAAAGGCUUCAGCUAUGGGGCAAAAUGACAAGAUUCUUCUGGUGGUGGCCACAUCAACUCAUAAUGCGAUCCUGAAAUGCCCACAGGUUUCUCCAGGGUUGAAAACAACCCAGUUCCCCGGGGUAGGUAGCAAUGAUGUGCACCACCAGUACCAUUUGAAAAAACACAAACCAGGUGCCGGGCUGAAAUUACACGAAGCACGUCAUUAUCACAGCAGAUGCUUACAGCCCCUAGACUGCUACGAGCAGAACCAAAGUUUGUGUGAAUCAAUAUUUUUUGUACACUGAAUUAAACCUUCAUUCGCGAGCAGAGCUUGCGAUCGUAAAGAUAUUCCAUGGUGAAUCUUUGCAAAGCUGUCACUCAUUCUCUAAAAUAAAGAAUUCCCCAUUGCAUGUCAA